UAAGACUUCUUUUUCAUCUUUGAGAAAGUGCAACACCCAUAAAAAACUUCAAAUUACCAAAGUAUUUCAAUUUUACGACUGCUCAUUUUCCUACUUUUUCUAUUUUUCUUUUUAUUCCACCUGCGGUUUGUAAAAGCUAUCAGAAAGGAAAUUAUAAUUUCAUUCCUUAGAGAUUUCGAAAUCUUUCAAGACAGCGGCUUCCGGCAGACAAUUCGUCUCCAAAAAUUUUUCAUCUGCAGUCUGAGAAAUACCGUGAAUUAAUAAUUAAUUUUCCAGUUUGUAGGAACAACUUUUACGAGAUAAUAGUUUAUGCUCUUGUUUUCAAAACUUUCAUUUAUGCAGUUAUCAUCCUUCCCUAAAACCUAAGACAAGAAAUUCUUCCGCAAACCGGCGAUUGGCUUUAUUAUUAAAAAAAUGAAUUCUAGGACCUUUUUGGCCGUUCUGGUUGGCUUCACAAUGGCGACAGUUUUGAUGGAGGAAGCAUCAGCUUAUAAUGUUGGAGGCUUCAAGAGAGACAUGCAUAAACGAAGGAAUUACGGGGCCAUGAUGGGCUAUAAAAGGGGGGCGGAGGAGUACCCUGAGGGAUAUGAAGACAACGAAGACGAACAAGAGGAGGGGGAGGGCGAAGAUGAGAAGAGAGGGGGUCUGUCUAGUUUAGACGACUGGAUUCCAGGAAGUAAGCGGAACUGGCUCAAAGAAGGAAGAUUUCCCCACUAACUAACUCACAUCAUUGUCUUACUCGUACGACGUUUAACUUUGUAAGAUGUUUCUUCACAGUUUUUGAUGAAAAUUUAAAAUUCAAUAUUUUGUUGUU